GUGGGGAAUAUUGGACAAUGGGCGAAAGCCUGAUCCAGCAAUGCCGCGUGAGUGAAGAAGGCCUUAGGGUUGUAAAGCUCUUUCACCGGGGAAGAUUAUGACGGUACCCGGAGAAGAAGCCCCGGCUAACUCCGUGCCAGCAGCCGCGGUAAUACGGAGGGGGCUAGCGUUGUUCGGAAUUACUGGGCGUAAAGCGCGCGUAGGCGGCCUGUCUAGUUGGGUGUGAAAGCCCGGGGCUCAACCCCGGAAUUGCACUCAAAACUGGCAAGCUAGAGACCGAGAGAGGUGAGUGGAAUUUCCAGUGUAGAGGUGAAAUUCGUAGAUAUUGGAAAGAACACCAGUGGCGAAGGCGGCUCACUGGCUCGGUACUGACGCUGAGGUGCGAAAGCGUGGGUAGCAAACAGG
rnacentral:rRNA from 1 species